GGAUUUGAGGGUGAUCUGGCUGCAACUUUUGUCUCCCCAUUGAUUGCCAGGGUUGAUUUUGCUGAUCUGUCUGGCUAGGUGGGUGUUGUCGUUCCAUUCUUCUCCCACUGCUCCCACUGCAUCCCUCUUGAGGCUAGAGCUCUUGGUAUAAGAGGACAACCUUUCCCUAGAUAUGCAGGUGCAUCCAAGUUAUUGUCUGGGGAG
rnacentral:snRNA from 1 species